AAAUCUGUGGAAAUCUGUGAAAAUCCGAUGAAAUCUGGGGAAAUCUAAUGUAUUCUAGAAAAAUUUUAGAAAAUGUGGUGAUAUUUGUUGAAAUCAAGUGAAAUGUGGUGAAUUCUGGUAUAAUCUAGGGAAAUUAGGAGGAAAUCUGCUGAGUUCGAGGUACAAUCUGGAGAAUCUAUUAAAAUUUAGUGAAAUGUGAUGAAAUCUGGUGAAUUCUGGAGAAAUCUUGGGAGAUCUGAUAAAAUCUUGUAAUAUUUGGUAAAAUCUAAUGAGAUCUGGUGAAAUGUAAUGAAAUCAGAGAAGCUGUCGAAUCGAUUGUUAACAUUUCCAGGAAUCUGGCAGAAUUUCUAUACAAGUGAUUACGAUCUUUAGUGAGAGGAUUGCAUGGGUAUACGAAAGAACGGCAAUUCUAUGUUGCAAUUCAAUGAAUAUCCUCGCAUGGUCUGCAUACGCGAAAAUCAACGAAACGAGAAAUGAAAUAAUCUUCAAAACCUCGAAUCCGUUUGUACAAAGGCUUGUUCCUUGUGUAAUUUGUCUUGACGAAUCGAUUAAUAAUAUUUCUAGGACAGUGGCAUAACCUCUAUAGAAGUUAUUGCAAUCUUUACCUACACAAUUGAGAAUCACACAGGACUGCGAAACGACACCAAUGUACUAUUGCAAUUCAGAGUAUGAUCGCAAGGACUUCAUAUUUUAGUCGCAGUUGUUAAACCACAUCGAUAAUCGAUUACUUUGAAGUUUCACCUCUUCACCUUUUCGACAGCUACAUACGCGAAAGUCGUCGUUAAGUCUAUGUUAUGUCCACCGCCGUAUUUAUUCUAUCUUAUAAAGAAUCAUUUAUUAAAACUAACACUGUUUAUACAUUGAUAUCAUUUUUAUAGUAUAGGAAUUAAUUUUUAAUUAUACAUAUAAAAAGAUUAAUAAGUACUUAUAUAUAGGAUAUUUUUGUAACUUAGAAGAUAUGAACUAGAGAAACUCGAAUCAUUUGGUCUUAUGGUUAACAAGGAUUUAUUAAUUACUAUAUUAUAAUGAUA